AGGUUAACCGUUUAGGGGAGCCGUAGGGAAACCGAGUCUGAAUAGGGCGAUUUAGUCGCUGGGCAUAGACCCGAAACCGGGCGAUCUAACCAUGAGCAGGUUGAAGAUUGAGUAACAUCAAUUGGAGGACCGAACCCACUUAUUUGAAAAAUGAGGGGAUGACUUGUGGCUAGGAGUGAAAGGCUAAUCAAGCCCGGAGAUAGCUGGUUCUCCUCGAA
rnacentral:rRNA from 1 species